rnacentral:rRNA from 1 species
AGAGUUUGAUCAUGGCUCAGAUUGAACGCUGGCGGCAUGCCUUACACAUGCAAGUCGAACGGUAACAGGUCUUUCGGGAUGCUGACGAGUGGCGAACGGGUGAGUAAUACAUCGGAACGUGCCCAGUAAUGGGGGAUAGCUCGGCGAAAGCCGGAUUAAUACCGCAUACGCCCUGAGGGGGAAAGUGGGGGACCGCAAGGCCUCACGUUAUUGGAGCGGCCGAUGGCUGAUUAGCUAGUUGGUAGGGUAAAGGCCUACCAAGGCGACGAUCAGUAGCUGGUCUGAGAGGACGAUCAGCCACACUGGGACUGAGACACGGCCCAGACUCCUACGGGAGGCAGCAGUGGGGAAUUUUGGACAAUGGGGGAAGCCCUGAUCCAGCAAUGCCGCGUGUGCGAAGAAGGCCUUCGGGUUGUAAAGCACUUUUGUCAGGAAAGAAAUCCUUUGGGCUAAUACCCUAGGGGGAUGACGGUACCUGAAGAAUAAGCACCGGCUAACUACGUGCCAGCAGCCGCGGUAAUACGUAGGGUGCAAGCGUUAAUCGGAAUUACUGGGCGUAAAGCGUGCGCAGGCGGUUGUGUACGACAGGUGUGAAAUCCCCGGGCUUAACCUGGGAAUUGCAUUUGUGACUGCACGACUA